rnacentral:rRNA from 1 species
UACGUAGGCAGCAAGCGUUGUCCGGAUUUACUGGGCGUAAAGAGCGCGCAGGCGGUCGGUCAAGUCGCGUGUGAAAGCCCCCGGCUCAACUGGGGAGGGUCACGCGAUACUGAUCGACUCGAAGGCAGGAGAGGGUAGUGGAAUUCCCGGUGUAGUGGUGAAAUGCGUAGAUAUCGGGAGGAACACCAGUGGCGAAGGCGACUACCUGGCCUGUUUCUUGACGCUGAGGCGCGAAAGCUAGGGGAGCAAACGGG